rnacentral:rRNA from 1 species
UAGGGAAUCUUCGGCAAUGGGGGGAACCCUGACCGAGCAACGCCGCGUGAGUGAAGAAGGUUUUCGGAUCGUAAAGCUCUGUUGUUAAGGAAGAACGAGUGUGAGAAUGGAAAGUUCAUGCUGUGGCGGUACUUAACCAGAAAGGGACGGCUAACUACGUGCCAGCAGCCGCGGUAAUACGUAGGUCCCGAGCGUUGUCCGGAUUUAUUGGGCGUAAAGCGAGCGCAGGCGGUUAGAAAAGUCUGAAGUGAAAGGCAGUGGCUCAACCAUUGUAGGCUUUGGAAACUGUUUAACUUGAGUGCAGAAGGGGAGAGUGGAAUUCCAUGUGUAGCGGUGAAAUGCGUAGAUAUAUGGAGGAACACCGGUGGCGAAAGCGGCUCUCUGGUCUGUAACUGACGCUGAGGCUCGAAAGCGUGGGGAGCGAACAGG